GACGGCGGAGAGCUGGGAUGGAGCGCGCCUUGGCCCGCUGGCCUUGGCUGCAGCUCCUCGGGAGAGCCGGGGCGCCCACGCGAGAACCUCCCUACCUGGACCGCCUGUGGAUGCCAAGCUGAUGCCAAGGUGCUUGCCGCCCACCUCCACCUCAUGAGGACGCUGGGAACACGGAUUCCUGGAUCCCACCAGCCUACGAAGAAAGCCACGGGCGGCGACCCCUGGGACCAGGACGACCAAGGAGGAGGACGACCAGAACUGACCAGCCAGCCCCCUUGGCUAAAGGCUUAGACCUGUGCCCUAGUGAGGGGGCAUUGGUCGCCAACCCCUGACCUUUGCUAUGCUUCUGCCUUGUUGCUCUGAUACUUGCCUCUAUGUCUCUGCCUGUGUUAACCUGCCAGCGCCCUGGAGGGUUGCCAUCCCCAGGGAGGUGUCAGUCUUUCUCGCUCCACUUGUUGUCGCCCGAAUGACGUCCUGAACGGAAGGGUCCCUUUGGGAACGUCUCGGGAGGCCGACCUGGGCCAAGGGCACAACCAGCAUCUCACUGGCAAUUCCAAGGCCCUGGGUGGGCUUCUGGAAUGAGCAUGAGCCCCGACGUCAUGCCAUGGAACUGCCAGGGGCACCCCCCCUCCUUUGAGCUCUCCCUGUCCCUCCUGGGGGGACAGGGACGAGAAGAGCAGUCUCCCAGGGGGUUGUGAGUAUUGAAUGAGAUGAAGUCGCCUCGGGCAGGGCCAGGCAUAGAGGAGGCAGUCGGCAAAUGUUUGUUGAUAAAGUUUGGCCGAUCAGUCCAGCCCCGGCCCGCUCCCGUGUCUCACCGUCUCAUUUAUUCUCCCACAGCACUCCGGAUGGCCCCUGGCCACGGGGCUCUGCCCGCACCAGCCAAGCUUCUCGAAAGGUCUGUCUUCACUCGCUGGCUUCCUUGCUCACCUCCAAUGUCCUCUCCAACCCACUGCUUCUUGACCUCUGCGCCGUCGAGCGGCUCUCGCGAAGGUCUCCUUCUGGAGUUGGGGUCUGUGAGCUGGACCCCUCCCUCCGUGACGCCUUCCUCCCUCCUCUGCGCCCCCAGUCGUUGGCUGGGGCCUGUCCAGGGCAAAGGGCAGAUGACUGGGGGACCUCCAGGGAGCGUUGCAGGCUCUGCCAAGGCCUGGCUGCCCACCUGUUCUCUACCUGGCGGCUCCUUCCCUGCCUCCCUCCCCCCAGCCAGGGUGCCUGCCCACUUGGAGCUCUGCUUGCCCGGCCCGCCCCUCUGUGCCCCCGUCACUGGGCUCAGGAUCUUCUGGGUCCUGGCUGUGCCGCCCUCUGCCUAACAGGUUGUUUUUCCCGCUGCCUCGCCCACCUCCCACCUGCGUGCCUUUUGCCCUCCCCGUCCCCCGGUGCAAGGAAGCCCUCCCCGCUCAGGGCCGCCCAAGUUUCCAGCGGGUCUCCGGUGCCCCGGGAUAAGCCCGAGCUGGCCCGCCACCUCCCCCGGUCAUCCUCAGAUGCCUCUUCUCCCGGCCGUGGCCCCUCAGGGUCUUAGUGACGGUGGGCUACAACCAGAUUUUUGUCCUGCUCCCCUCCCCACACCCCCUAGACCCCUCGUCAUCGGGUCCUGCUGGGCCUGCCCAGAUGGCUGCCCUGUCCCCCUGAGUCCCAGGCCCUGCCCCACCCCAGGCCCCGUGGCCAGUCUGGGGGCUGCCACCCGGCCUGUCGCCUCUCUUCUUGCACCUCUUCCCAUCACGGCAUCCCCACGAGCCACCUCCCUCCACAGAAAUCCAAGCCGCAGGUCGGCCUGUCCUCGACGCACUGGCAGCGAGCGUCGGCUGAAGAACCGGAUGGAAGAGGCGGGAGAGUCACCACGGACCGGCGUUCCUUCAGGUCGGUCGCCUGGCGUCUUCGGGCUGCGACUCCUUCCCGGAUCGGGCUGAAGCCAUCAUCUGUGUCCUCCGUCGGAAGGGACCUCAGACAUGUGGCUCCUGCACCCUCCAGCUCUGAAAUCGGCAGGCUAGGAUGCAAGUGGCCUUGCUGGGGGGCCCUUCCAAGGGCCGAGGGACCAGCCUCUCGAACGGGCUCGGCGCUCCAGUGACCUUCGCGUCCCCCUCCUCCUUGAAUUGUCUGGAAAACAGAAUGGACAGAUUUUCUGUCUUCAAAGUUUCCGGCUAAACCUCUUCAAAGUUCUUUAUUGUUUGGGACUGAGACACUCAGCAGUGCUAAUGGGUAGUUCCUUUUGUAUUUGCCCUGAAAGGCCAAAAUAUUUUUAUAUCGCUCCAGACAAAGCCGUCUAUUUUAAGAUGAACUCUGUCCGUCGUUGGCCACCGGGGAGACGGUGUCCGCCGUGUGUGUGUCUGUGUGCUCUCGGGUCUUGAAACGGGUUUCUCCUGGGGAUGGCCAUUCACAGGGGUCCAGGGGGAAGCGCCUGCCCCCCCGAAGGGGGCCUGGGGAAGCGGGGACUGGGGCAUCCCGCCCUAAUUGCAGAUCUGCCACCCCCACCCACCCCCACCCCCUCUGUGUAGGAUAUGAGCCCCUGGGGCGGUGGGGGCGGGUUCUGGCUGCACUAACAUUUCCUGUGCCUGCGCCUGCACCUGCCAUGCGUAUGUGUUGGGGACCGUGGGUUGUGUGCACCUGGGUGGUUAAUUCAGUGGGAGGAGCUGGGAGGUCAGAGAUACUGUGAAGGUUCUAUUCUGGUUGGGAGGUCACGGCUGGGAGGUGUGACCUGGUCCAAACAAGCGAAUGGAUGCAUCCGUGGAUGAAAGCAUGCAGGAAUGAGCAAACAGAGAAACAGGGAGAGAAGGAAUCAAGCCCGGGUGAGAGUGUGCCCUGAGUGAGAGCCCACCGAUGCCCAGGACGUCAGUGGUUGUGUCAGGAAGUCGGGACUCGGGAUAGACAUAGGGCCACGUCGGAAGCAAGGUCAGGUCAUCGUGGGCGGAGCGACCCGUGAACUUUGGGUAUCGGGCACCUGAAGUUUGUCAUUAAAGGAUAAAACCUAGAUGGAAGAAAGAAUGAGUUAGAGGUGGACACGCGUAAACCAGGGGUGACAAUGAGAUGAUGAGGCCCAGCGGGGGAGACGGUGCAGGAGAGGGAAGGAGUGACUGAAAGGGGGAGGCACACGGAGAGAGCCCCCAAAAUGAGUAUUUUUAAAAUUAGGGGGCGAGGACAUCUCUAUGGAGGACAGGGUCACGUGAUUAUGAGCCAAGCAUUAGGAUGACUCCAAAUGCAUACUCCCGGCACAAAAAAGGAAAGAACCUGCAGACGGAGAGUUCUGGAAAAAGAUGAGCUGGAAAAGGACCCAGGGAACCAACGAUGAGGGUUAACUUUAGCCUAAAGUUUUCCGACUCUGGGCCCGUGUAGAUAAGUAAAUGCCCAAACGAAAGAAAGCAGAGGGACCACCAAAGGGAUGAGUGAGCAGCGGACAUCCCUGGGCCCAGAUGGGAGCAUUGGCAGGAGGGGCUUCGAGUCAUCUGCUCCCGGGCACUGAGGUUCCACGAAAGGAUUAAAAAGAGAGAGAAUGGAGUUCCCGUCGUGGCGCAGUGGUUAACGAAUCCGACUAGGAACCAUGAGGUUGCAGGUUCGGUCCCUGCCCUUGCUCAGUGGGUUAAGGAUCCGGUGUUGCCGUGAGCUGUGGUGUAGGUUGCAGAUGCGGCUCGGAUCCCGUGUUGCUGUGGCUCUGGCAUAGGGUGGUGGCUAUAGCUCCCAUUAGACCCCUAGCCUGGGAACCUCCAUAUACCGCGGGAGUGGCCCAAAGAAAUGGCAAAAAGACAAAAAAAGAGAGAGAGAGAGAGAGAGAGAGAGAGAGAGAGAGAGAGAGAGAGAGAGAAAUAAGAUGUCUAACUCCAAAUCAUGACAUUGGGAGGAAAAAGGAACAGGUGUUAAGUAGAGGAAUGCAUUCGUGGGUGAGUACAUACACAUAUUAAAAAAGGCAGGGCUCUGGGAGUAGGGGUCAGAGGCUGUCAUGAAUCCAGGAUGCGGCUGGUCCAAUUCUAAAGCCAUAAUAGCGUCACAAAAUAAUAGGCAUCAAAAUACACAAGUGGAAAAAAAAAAA
rnacentral:lncRNA from 9 species